rnacentral:rRNA from 1 species
GACAGAGGGUGCAAACGUUGUUCGGAAUUACUGGGCGUAAAGCGUGUGUAGGCGGUCCACUAAGUCGGGUGUGAAAGCCCUGGGCUCAACCCAGGAAGCGCACUCGAAACUGGCGGGCUAGAGUAUCGGAGAGGUUGGUGGAAUUCUCGGUGUAGAGGUGAAAUUCGUAGAUAUCGAGAGGAACACCGGUGGCGAAGGCGGCCAACUGGACGAAUACUGACGCUGAGACACGAAAGCGUGGGGAGCAAACAGG